rnacentral:rRNA from 1 species
AUUGAACGCUGGCGGCAUGCCUUACACAUGCAAGUCGAACGGCAGCAUGGGUGCUUGCACCUGAUGGCGAGUGGCGAACGGGUGAGUAAUGCAUCGGAACGUACCCGGAAGUGGGGGAUAACGUAGCGAAAGUUACGCUAAUACCGCAUAUUCUGUGAGCAGGAAAGCGGGGGAUCGCAAGACCUCGCGCUUCCGGAGCGGCCGAUGUCGGAUUAGCUAGUUGGCGGGGUAAAGGCCCACCAAGGCAACGAUCCGUAGCGGGUCUGAGAGGAUGAUCCGCCACACUGGGACUGGGACACGGCCCAGACUCCUACGGGAGGCAGCAGUGGGGAAUUUUGGACAAUGGGGGCAACCCUGAUCCAGCCAUGCCGCGUGAGUGAAGUAGGCCUUCGGGUUGUAAAGCUCUUUCGGCCGGGAAGAAAUCGCAUCUCCUAAUACGGGGUGUGGAUGACGGUACCGGAAUAAGCACCGGCUAACUACGUGCCAGCCGCCGCAGUAA